rnacentral:misc_RNA from 1 species
GACAAAAUAACAUUAAGAUCGGAAAAAAUGGUGCAAAACACAAGGAAAUUCCAUGCUCGACCUCAACCGGAAGCGGAUGUGUGUCUCGUUAUCGAAUUUCGGCGUGUUCCGUCGUUGCCUACCGCCGAUCCGGAAUCUCCACCGCCGCCAUCGGAACCACCCACUAUCGUAUCGUUAUCGCCAUCAUCGCCGGCGAUACAGAGAGAAAAGUCGUAUCGUCUCGUCGUCGUUUGUUGGUUAGAUUUUUGGCGGUGAUUUUGGCAUUGGCAUUGGAACGUCAUGGCCUGCUUCGACCGUUCAGGACUAAAACCAGGACUUUGCAGGACAUGCAGCCUGGUGAUUGGGAAAUCAAUAUUCCGCACCGCACAGUUUUGCAUCAGGCGGCGAGGGAAUUAAAUGAAAUUUAAGAGACUAUAACAAUAAAUCCAAAUUGCUGUCGAAACAAUCCGGGUGAAAGUGAGUGCGGAUGUUGUUUGCUGGAACAACAGCGGCGGCGGCGUAGAGCUUAGUGUGUUGUGUAUCGAGCAACACAACGAGGAUGACAAGAGGAGCAUGGAAUUAGGGGGAUGUUGUUUGGUCUAAAGUCGUUUAGAUGUUGAAUAUAUUGAGCUUCGGGAAAGUACCACUUGAGCCUUAAAAAAUAAAAAAUAAAUCAUUCCUGACAUUUUGAAUAAAUUGCA